AAUUAAUGAGUUUGAAUAAACUUAUGUUUUGAAAACAUAAAAAAGAAAUUAAAAUUUUCUAUUAAUUU
rnacentral:tRNA from 1 species